UCAGGGAUUUCAACUAAAAUCCAUGAUUCAUCCGGAUUAACCUCAAUAGGUUAAUCCGGAAUCGAGUCACGGUUUAUUGGGUUCGUAUAAAAGCCAUGGAUUCAACUGGAGUUCAUUUCCACGGUUUCCUGCGAUUCUGACGGUGAAGUCCGACCGAGGUUUAGCGACGGGUGAAGCAACAGAUGCUCGCAUCUGAGAAGAACACCUAAAACCGAGUUGAUUGAAGGUUGUAAACUUCAUAUCUAGGGUUUACCCUAUUUCCA